UACGAAGGGGGCGAGCGUUGUUCGGAUUUACUGGGCGUAAAGGGCGCGCAGGCGGCUUUGUUUGUCAGGCGUGAAAGCCCCGGGCUUAACCUGGGAACUGCGUUUGAUACGGCAGGGCUAGAGUUCGGGAGAGGAGAGUGGAAUUCCCAGUGUAGGGGUGAAAUUCGUAGAUAUUGGGAAGAACACCGGUGGCGAAGGCGGCAAUCCUGGACCGAUACUGACGCUGAGGAGCGAAAGCCAGGGAGCAAAGCGGG
rnacentral:rRNA from 1 species